UACGGAGGGUGCGAGCGUUAAUCGGAAUUACUGGGCGUAAAGCGCGCGUAGGCGGUUUGGUAAGUCUGUCGUGAAAGCCCUGGGCUUAACCUGGGAACUGCGGUGGAUACUGUCGGACUAGAGUGUGGUAGAGGGGAGUGGAAUUUCCGGUGUAGCAGUGAAAUGCGUAGAGAUCGGAAGGAACACCAGUGGCGAAGGCGGCUCCCUGGACCAACACUGACGCUGAGGUGCGAAAGCGUGGGGAG
rnacentral:rRNA from 1 species